rnacentral:rRNA from 1 species
CGAGUCGAGAGGGUUCGGCCCUCGGCUGACGGCUCAGUAACACGUGGAUAAUCUGCCCUUAGGUGGAGGAUAAUCUCGGGAAACUGAGGACAAUACUCCAUAGGUUUAGGAGGCUGGAAUGCAUCUAGACUGAAAGCUCCGGCGCCUAAGGAUGAGUCUGCGGACUAUCAGGUAGUAGUCAGGGUAAAGACCUGACUAGCCUACGACGGAUACGGGUUGUGAGAGCAAUAACCCGGAGACGAUAUCUGAGACACGAUAUCGGGCCCUACGGGGCGCAGCAGGCGCGAAAACUUCACACUGUGCGAAAGCACGAUGAGGGAAUCCCGAGUGCUUGCUCGUAAGAGUAAGCUGUUUCUCUGUCUAAAACGCAGAGAGAGUAAGAGCUGGGUAAGACGGGUGCCAGCCGCCGCGGUAAUACCUGCAGCUCAAGUGGUGGCCGCUAUUAUUGGGCCUAAAACGUCCGUAGCCGGUUUAGUAAAUGCCUGGGUAAAUCGUGUAGCUUAACUAUACGAAUUCCGGGUAGACUGCUAAACUUGAGACCGGGAGAAGCCAGAGGUACUCCUAGGGUAGAGGUGAAAUUCUGUAAUCCUAGGGGGACCACCAGUGGCGAAGGCGUCUAGCCAGAACGGGUCUGACGGUGAGGGACGAAACCCUGGGGCGCAAACCGGAUUAGAUACCCGGGUAGUCCAGGGCGUAAACGCUGCUUGCUUGAUGUUAGUUGGGCUCCGAGCCCAAUUAGUGU